UAUUACAGAUGACUGCAGAAGUUUCCAGACAUGCAUAGCAGCUGAGGAGUGUCUGUGUUUCGACUGCAGUAAGUGCUUCAUCAUGUCACCGCAAGUCAGCAAAGGAGAGGGGACGGAAAUGACAAAGGCUACAUCAGUCGUGCCACAAUCGCACGGCCCAUAUUCAUUCGAUUGCACACGCUCUUUGACACUGGCAUUUCUCAGUGAUUUUCCAGGUCCAUACAACCAGAAAAGUAACCUUCUUUUUAUCCAUGCUGGUGGUUUGUUCCUCAGUGCCUGAUGGAGAAAUUCUAACAUCAGACCCCCCUGGCCCA